rnacentral:piRNA from 1 species
UGCUGGAUCAUUGAUCUGUUUGAGGA